AAAUUCAAGAGGCAAACCUGCAGGGCAAAGAAGAGAUGACUCAUACAGAGAAAACGUGUACAGGACACAGAAUUUGUGAAUAAUCGGAGUAUGAGAAGAAAUAGAAGAGUCAGCAGAAUGAACGUGUGGUUAUCUGGUCAGGGCUCUGAAGAUGUCUUGGUAGCUCCUGCAUGUCUAGCAGAAUGCCUUUCAUAUCACAGUCACUCAAUCAAUACUUGUUGAAUAAGUGGACGAAGAAAACCUUCUAAUCUCACAGGAGGCCCGGUAUUCCACUCAGCAGAUUCACUCGUGUCACAGUAUGAACAACUUUAAAAGAUACCUAGAAGAUGUCAAGAAGAAAGCAGAAAUGACUCAGGGGAUCCUGGCAACCUGUGCUCCAUUGUAUUUCACAAUUGCCAUGGACUGGUGACUAAAUUUGCUGCAGUUCUCAUUCACUGAGGCUCUGCAUUUCUGUUCUCUCCCCUUAUGGAUUUAUUUCUCUUUGUAUUUGAAAAACACAAGACACUAUUGGCAAUAAAUGGUAGUACUAUGUCUUGCAAAACAGCUGAACUGCACCAAACCCGUGACACUCCUAGACCUCCAGCUUUCCAUCUGGUGAGAUUCACUCUGAGCUGGGAGCUCCCGCUGACUUGACUGCAAAAGAAAGAAGCAUCACCAAUGGGGAUUAAUCCUCCCAUCAGCCUUGAGAGAAAGGGCUGCAGGCCCGUGUGGAUUUGCUCAGCACGCCACUGACUUUAUUAAACAACCUACCGGACAAAGGGAAACAAAGUCUCUCCCUCUUUCCAAAGAGCACCGUGCCAAAAAUGUGUAUUAGAUGGUCAAAGGCCACAGGGUCAGGUCCAAAUGCAGCUUUUCUAGAUACAAUGAAGCACUUUCCCAUGUUGCAGCUCAAUCAAACAUAGUUUUUGUAAGCCAGGGAAAUUCAGAGGGAGGCUUGCGGUAAUUUAGCAAUCGUUUUUCUUAUUUCCUGUAGUUAAUUUAGGAGGAGGUCACUUGUUUGCUUAACGAACAUUGAAUUCCGUGCCAGAGAGGGAGCGAGGGCCUGGGAGCAGAGAGGUAGGAAUGUGCCGCACAGUCUCUGCCCCAGGAAGUGCACGGGGUGGAGAGAUGGGGGUGUGGAGGCGACAAUCAAGUAAAUCCACAGUUCCAGCAGGUCAGCAGGAGCCUGGGUCUCGAAUCGCACGCAGCGGGCUUGGAGUAGAUAAGAUGUGCCUAGUCAGCCUAGGGAGGAAUCAACAAGACUUCACAGAGGAGGUCAGCCUUUGAGGAGUCAUUCAGUUAUUUGCGAUUUAUGGAUCCAUUUAAUAAAUAUUAUGGAAUGUUAAUUUCAUUUUAUGCUAGGUGUCAUGGGCUGAGUGCUGGCCACCCCACAUCACCAGAAUCUGUGUCUGUGUCCUAGUCUUCGGAGCCCAUGAAUGUUAUCUUCUAUGGCAAUAGACGUGAUGAAGGGAAAGCCUUUGAGAACAGGCCUUUGUUCUGGAUUAUCUGGAUAGGCCCUAAAUAGAAUCACAGGUAUUCUCAUAAGAGAGGCAGAGGGAGUUUUAGACAGACACACACAGAGAAGGCAAUGUGAAGACGGAAAUAGGAGUGAUGGGAUGACAUGCUGAAGAAUGCCAAGGAAUGCUGGAGGUCACCAAAAACUAGGGGACAGGCAUGGGACAUGGGACAGAUUCUACCCACCCUACACCCCAGUCUGGGGAGGGAGUGCGUCCUGCUGACACCUUGUUUCGAAACAUCUUGGCCCUCCCUCAGGGAGCUAGGGUCUAGCGCAGGUGGCACACUGGGGGUGAUGAACGCCCAGGCCCUGUGGAGGCCACGGGUGACCUUGGUAAGCACAGCUACAAGGAAAUGUGAGGCAGAAGCCAGAGGGCAGGGAAGGGGCAAGCAAACUGUGUCCGUGGCAAUGAAGGACCAUUUUUGGAACACCUGUCUGUCCCAAUAUGUUUUACUGAGGUCAAUGCAACAAACUCCUUUUUAAAAAAUAAUGUUGAUAUUAUUUUCUGAUUAUAAACGAA
rnacentral:lncRNA from 1 species